UGUGAAAGCAAACUAUAUUAGGUGUAAGUUUUUGUACAGCAAUUCCUUUUCCAGUGAACACUUGCACCUUUUCUUUGUUGGAAGGAAUUAUUGAAUCCAUGAGGAAUCUUCAGGUACAAAAAGAAGGCUGUUUGGAAUUUCACCUGGAAUUUCUUCACGUGUAAAAAGUGAAGGUGAACACCCAAACAAAAUGAAGAGCGAAGAACGGUCAUAACAAGCAGCGUUUCCUGAACCUGAUAAAGACACAGCUUGCUGAGAAAAAAACCUGUGAUAACAAAAUGCCAUACAAGGUCAUGGAGCGCUGAGGGAGAAGAAUAAUGCGAAGUUGAAGCCCAUCAUGAAAGUAGUGAGCUUUAACAUUUUAUCGCCACUGUUCCUACUGGAAGACUGUUGGAAAACUUCAUGGCUCUUAGUAUUAGGAAUGUUAUUUUACUUUGCAACCAAACCAAUACACUCCACUCUGUAAGAGAAGGAAAAGAAGAAGAAGAAAAGAAUUUCACCUGAAAUCCCAUUUGCUCUAAAUUAAACUAAUUUAAUUUCAA